GAUGAACGCUAGCGGCAGGCCUAAUACAUGCAAGUCGAACGGUGUCUUCGGACAUAGUGGCGCACGGGUGCGUAACACGUAUGCAACCUACCUUACAUUGGGGGAUAGCCUUUCGAAAGGGAGAUUAAUACCGCAUAAGACAGUAGCUGGGCAUCCAGCAGCUGUUAAAGAUUUAUCGAUGUAAGCUGGGCAUGCGUCCAAUUAGCUAGUUGGUGAGGUAACGGCUCACCAAGGCAAUUAUUGGUAGGGGAACUGAGAGGUCAAUCCCCCACACUGGCACUGAGAUACGGGCCAGACUCCUACGGGAGGCAGCAGUAGGGAAUAUUGGGCAAUGGACGCAAGUCUGACCCAGCCAUGCCGCGUGCAGGAUGAAGGCGUUAUGCGUUGUAAACUGCUUUUAUACAGGAAGAAACGACUCUUGCGCGAGGCAUUGACGGUACUGUAUGAAUAAGCACCGGCUAACUCCGUGCCAGCAGCCGCCGUAAGAC
rnacentral:rRNA from 1 species